UGAAGGAACGUUAAAGACGAUGACGUUGAUAGGCCGGGUGUGUAAGCGCAGCGAUGCGUUGAGCUAACCGGUACUAAUGAACCGUGAGGCUUAACCUU
rnacentral:rRNA from 1 species